rnacentral:rRNA from 1 species
UACGGAGGAUGCAAGCGUUAUCCGGAUUCAUUGGGUUUAAAGGGUGCGUAGGCGGACUAUUAAGUCAGUGGUGAGAGCCUGCAGCUUAACUGCAGAACUGCCAUUGAUACUGAUAGUCUUGAGUUUGGUUAAGGUAGGCGGAAUGUGUAAUGUAGCGGUGAAAUGCUUAGAUAUUACACAGAACACCAAUUGCGUAGGCAGCUUACUGAGCCGACACUGACGCUGAGGCACGAAAGCGUGGGGAUCGAACA